GGAAGGGCAGGGGAAGGCGAGGGGAGCCCGGCGUGGGGAGCUUUCGCCGCUACUCACUCGAAGGCGAAGAAGAGUCCGCUCGUGACCAGGAUGAGGAUGAGAGUCAGGAGUUCCCGUUUCUUCUCACUCCAAGUUUAUUCAGAACUACAGGAAUUAAUGCACGUGGGACCCAUAACUAAAGAAGUUCACUAGAAUCCGGCAUGACAACCACAGAUUUCAGCUCGCCGCCUAGAAAUUGCUCGCUAAGGCAUCGUAGGUUUCAGGCGGACCAGCUGACUGUGGAGCAUUGUCCAGAGAGAAAUCUCCAGCACGAACCUUCGCGAACCACUUCUGACAUGUUCCAUCAGGCAGAUGGAGAGCUCCUUCCCCAUACACGGCACAAAUCCUGUUUUGUGCUGUGUGCCUG